GCACAUAUAGUAAAAUCAGAAUAAUACACAGAAGAUCUGCAUGAGCCCUGCGCAAAGAUGACAAGCAAAAUUAAAAAAAUAUAU
rnacentral:snRNA from 1 species